rnacentral:rRNA from 1 species
AUUGAACGCUGGCGGCAUGCCUUACACACGCAAGUCGAACGGUAACAGGUCUUCGGAUGCUGACGAGUGGCGAACGGGUGAGUAACGUAUCGGAACGUGCCCAGUUGUGGGGGAUAACUACUCGAAAGAGUGGCUAAUACCGCAUACGACCUGAGGGUGAAAGCGGGGGAUCGCAAGACCUCGCGCAAUUGGACCGGCCGAUAUCAGAUUAGGUAGUUGGUGGGGUAAAGGCUCACCAAGCCGACGAUCUGUAGCUGGUCUGAGAGGACGACCAGCCACACUGGGACUGAGACACGGCCCAGACUCCUACGGGAGGCAGCAGUGGGGAAUUUUGGACAAUGGGCGCAAGCCUGAUCCAGCCAUGCCGCGUGCGGGAAGAAGGCCUUCGGGUUGUAAACCGCUUUUGUCAGGGAAGAAAAGGCUCCUUCUAAUACAGGGGGCUCAUGACGGUACCUGAAGAAUAAGCACCGGCUAACUACGUGCCAGCAGCCGCCGUAAAAC